rnacentral:rRNA from 1 species
UACGUAGGGGGCGAGCGUUGUCCGGAUUUAUUGGGCGUAAAGAGCUCGUAGGCGGCUUGGCAAGUCGGGUGUGAAACCUCCAGGCUCAACUUGGAGCCGCCAUUCGAUACUGCCAUGGCUAGAGUUUGGUAGGGGACCACGGAAUUCCUGGUGUAGCGGUGAAAUGCGCAGAUAUCAGGAGGAACACCAGCGGCGAAGGCGGUGGUCUGGGCCAAUACUGACGCUGAGGAGCGAAAGCGUGGGGAGCGAACAGG